GUGAAUCAUCAAAUUUUUGAACGCAUAUUGCACUCUCUGGUAUUCCGGAGAGCAUGCCUAUUUGAGGGUCAUUUGAUAUAAUAUAAAUUCCAAGAUUUCUCGGAAUUUAACCUGGGAUGUCUAUUAUUUGUGAUCGCCUAAAAUCCAAGACAACGUCAUUUUCUUGGGUUGCGUGUUACGUUCAGUUACGUCGUGA
rnacentral:misc_RNA from 1 species